CCUAGGGUGGCAGCAGUCGAGAAUCAUUCACAAUGGGGGAAACCCUGAUGGUGCGACGCCGCGUGAUCGAGACGCCCUUCGGGGUGUAAAGAUCUGUCAGUGGGGACGAAACUUGACGGUACCCACAGAGGAAGCACCGGCUAACUCCGUGCCAGCAGCCGCGGUAAUACGGGGGGUGCAAGCGUUGUCCGGAAUCAUUGGGCGUAAAGAGUUCGUAGGCGGCACGGAAAGUCUGGUGUUAAAGGCAGAGGCUCAACUUCUGUCCGGCACUGGAUACUUGCGAGCUAGAAUGCGGUAGAGGUAAAGGGAAUUCCUGGUGUAGCGGUGAAAUGCUUAGAUAUCAGGAGGAACAUCGGUGGCGUAAGCGCUUUACUGGGCCGUAAUUGACGCUGAGGAACGAAAGCCAGGGUAGCAAAUGGGAUUAGAUACCCUUGUAGUC
rnacentral:rRNA from 1 species